GAUGAACGCUGGCGGCGUGCCUAAUACAUGCAAGUCGAGCGAACGGACGAUAACUUUGUUUCUCUGAUGUGAGCGGCGGGGGGGUGUGUAACAUGUGUAUAAUCCACCUAUAUAACUGGGAUCACUUCGGGAAACCGGCUCUUACCCCGUAUAAUAUUUUGAACCGCAUGGUUCAAAAGUGAAAUACGGUUUUUCUGUCACGUAUAGAUGGAUCCGCGCUGUAUUAGCUAGUUGGUAAGGUAACGGCUUACCAAGGCAACGAUGCAUAGCCGAACUGAGGGGAUGAUAGGCCACCGGGGAGCGGGGACGCGCUCCAGAAUCCUAAGGGAGGCAGCAGUCGGACACCUUCGGCAGUGGGCGGAAGCCUGUCGGAGCAACGGCGCGUGAGUGAUAAGGAUCUUCGGAUCGUAAAACUCUGUUAUUAGGGGAGAACAUAUUUCUAAGUUACUGUACACAUUUUGACGGUACCUAAUCAAAAAGCAACGGCUAACUACGUG
rnacentral:rRNA from 1 species